GUGUGUGUAUGAAGCGUCUAUCCUGUAGUUGCAUGGUACACACAGUACAUUUUGCAGUGUUAAAUAUGUAGUGUUAAAAUGCAUUGACUUUCAGAGCUAAUACAACAGAUUGAAUAUAAUGCCACUUGGUGUUGGUGUAAAUUUCCAGAGUGUCAGUUUGACUCUGACAAGCUCCGCCCACCUCCUCCUCUCAAACCAACAGGUCUAACGCCAUUUUUCUCCUGCUUGAACGACUGCGAAUUUGUCUCCAGGGUGGAAUUGCCAAGCUCAUCUGAUCCUCAAGAGUCUCUCAUUCUUUCAGAGUCCUUCCACUAAAUGCCAGUGCCUGGACACAGAAGCUAAGCAUGAGCAUUAUUAUGAUGCUGCAAGUGGUACCAGGUACUUAGCCUGGAGGAUAAAAACUAUUAAGAGAUCCACUUAACAGACAGAUGAUCAUCGUAUGGAGCAUCAUCCGAAGAAGCAUCUUGUGAACAUGGGCUUGGAGGACCAGCUGCUAGACGAGAGACCCAGUUUGUUCCAGAGACUGUCCUGAAUGAAGAAGAGUGUUAGGAAGCCAUCGAACUGAUUAAGCAUUCAGCCGAUGAGGACACGAUCAAGAAGAAGAUGAAGCUCACAUUUGACUUUCGGCACAACAUGGUCCUCGACCCCCAACAGUCAAGCAACAUACUCUCUGUCUUUCCACGUUUCAAAGCCUUGGUGGAGCAGGAUUUUGUCCUGAUGUUUGCAGAAGACGAGUCUGGCAAGUUUCUGGAGAAAUGGACGACCACGUUCAAGAGAAAGAUCAUCCAACAUUGCAGAAAGCUUCCAACCACCAGUGACUUUGACAAACCUUUCCUAGCAGCUGAUACUCCUGAGGAUGACACUGAAGUGGUUGAUGACAUGACUAAGGAUGACCUUAAACAUUAUGUAGGAUUCAAUUAUUGUGUGAGCUUCACUUAGUGAUGUACACAUAAUUUAAAUUGCAUUAUUGCUAGAUUUUGAUGGUCAAUUCAACAUCAAAUUUCUCUUAUCACAGGUUGGCACAGUGACCUCUCAUUGAUUUUGCUGCUGCUACACCUGAUUCCCCCCUCUGCCUUGGGUCGUAAGAGACCAGGGAAAGUGUCUGCCUCCCAAGCAGAGAAACAUCUUGUGGUCUUCAAGAAGACAGGAACCAACAUCCAAGAACAUCUUGAUGCCAUCAUGACGAGCACACAACCUUAUCUCCUGGCUGUGGGACGGAGGAAGAAAGUAGCUCACCAGUUCUUCAUCAUCCUUGACAAAAAUGCCAUUGCUUGCAGGUCAACUUCCUCUCUUGGUGUUUUUCACAAACUGUUUAAGGCACAUUACGUGUUUGCCACAACAUACAACCCCGUGCUGUGCAACAUGUUUACCUUCAUCCAAACCACUGUAUGCAAUACAGAUGUAGGUAAAGUGAAAGAAAGUCCUCGUGUGGCAGAAAUUCGGUCUAGGUUGCUUCACUAGUACUUAAAAAAAAUCUGUUUGGCAUUAAGUGUUUUAUUUGUUAGGCAGAGUUAAGUUGCACAAAUGCACUUGUUCGGUAUAUACGAAUAGUUAGUUCAUGGUUACUUGGAUGGAAAAACUCUUUGCCUUAAAUGUACUCUGUCAAGUUUGAGCCGUCUAUUGUAAUGUGAUGUACACCAUGUGACACUACCAAAAGUUAACAGUGGAUCUUAAAAAUGUGCUUUAGUUCAAUAAACAAGUUAAAUGCA